ensembl:snoRNA snoRNA:Psi28S-3316b snoRNA:Psi28S-3316b
ACGCACCUAAAAGCGUUUUCUUGCCAGCCCGUUAAGUGCUCUCGAAAAUCGUAGAUGUGUGCCAGAGCAAUCGUCGCAGUUGCAAGUGAUCUAGAUCCGUGACAGAAUCAGAUCCAAUUAAAGCUGGGCUCAUUUAUAUAU